GAUGAACGCUGGCGGCGUGCCUAAUACAUGCAAGUCGAGCGAACAGACGAGGAGCUUGCUCCUCUGACGUUAGCGGCGGACGGGUGAGUAACACGUGGAUAACCUACCUAUAAGACUGGGAUAACUUCGGGAAACCGGAGCUAAUACCGGAUAAUAUAUUGAACCGCAUGGUUCAAUAGUGAAAGACGGUUUUGCUGUCACUUAUAGAUGGAUCCGCGCCGCAUUAGCUAGUUGGUAAGGUAACGGCUUACCAAGGCAACGAUGCGUAGCCGACCUGAGAGGGUGAUCGGCCACACUGGAACUGAGACACGGUCCAGACUCCUACGGGAGGCAGCAGUAGGGAAUAUUCCGCAAUGGGCGCAAGCCUGACGGAGCAACGCCGCGUGAGUGAUGAAGGUCUUCGGAUCGUAAAACUCUGUUAUUAGGGAAGAACAAAUGUGUAAGUAACUAUGCACGUCUUGACGGUACCUAAUCAGAAAGCCACGGCUAACUUCGUG
rnacentral:rRNA from 1 species